UGCGCACACACACACAAAUUCAUCUGAACAAUGAACCAAACAAGAACAUGGGUCAACAUCAGCCAUGGAUUUGAAUUCCUCUUCAAACCAAUCUUUGAAACAAGACUUCAUCAAAUCCACUACUUCAAAGGCUUUCGCGUUCCUCUUGAGUUGUGUUCUCGAAUAAAGACUUAAAGGUGAUGUUCUGGAUGAUUGUGUCACACAUAUUUAGGACAAGAAGA
rnacentral:lncRNA from 1 species